GCCAGCAGUCAUAUCACCCUGCAACUCACAACUGGCAGCCCACUGAAGCUAAGCAGGUGUGAGCCUGGUCAGUACCUGGAUGGUAGACCUCCUAGGAAAAACUAAGGUUGCUGCUGGAA
ensembl:rRNA 5S_rRNA 5S ribosomal RNA